rnacentral:rRNA from 2 species
UACGGAGGGUGCAAGCGUUAUCCGGAUUCACUGGGUUUAAAGGGUGCGUAGGCGGACAGGUAAGUCAGUGGUGAAAUCUCCGAGCUUAACUCGGAAACUGCCGUUGAUACUAUUUGUCUUGAAUAUUGUGGAGGUAAGCGGAAUAUGUCAUGUAGCGGUGAAAUGCUUAGAUAUGACAUAGAACACCAAUUGCGAAGGCAGCUUACUACACAACAAUUGACGCUGAGGCACGAAAGCGUGGGGAUCAAACAGG